rnacentral:lncRNA from 1 species
GGUGAUCGGCGUAACGUAAUUGUAAUUUAAUAGGAGUCGUGAUUGUGAUUUAACAAGAGUCAGAUGAUUGAAUAGUUGGUUAUGAGUUAUGACUCAAUUUCUAUACAAAGAUAGAAAACCUAAAAUCAUAGCAUUUAAAACUAAGUAAACUUAUUGAUUGUUUUAAUAUCGUUGUCUUUUGGUUUGCUGUUUGUUUUAUAUAUUUGUUCUAGUUUGUUUAACAUGCCCCGCUUGCGUUUGUUUAAGGACAUAUAAUGUAUUGAGGUAAAAAGGAUAUUGAAAACAAAUUUACGACUCAUGAUUUGUAUAAAAAUAACCUGGUAUGUGACAAAAAUUAUAUUUAUUGAUCGGACAAAUAUUUUCAGAUUACUGUUAAUGUAUCACCAAUUUAUAUUUAGAGUUUUUUAAGAAUAACAUUCAAUUUAUUUGAGUCAGGACGGUUUACCAAUAACUUUUUUAUUAGUAUUAAUUUAGAAAUUAUGUAUAAUACACACAUUUUAUUUGA